UGAAGUGGACACAUUUCCCUUGGUUAAGAGAAAUCCAUGGUUUGUUGUGUUUGCCAAGAACAAAAAUGUUGGAAAUCCAGAUUAGCAGAGCUGCCACCAUUGACAUUUUUCACAUCAACCACAUCCGAAGGGCCAGGAUAUCUCUCUGUUGGUAAUCACAUCAGUUCUUCCCAGUGGAUUGUUCCAUAAUAAUUGCUGUAUGUGGGUAGCUGUGGUGAAUUAGCAUUGAACAGAGGGGGACCUGCCCAUCUUAUUCCUACCACAGGAAGCCCACCUACACAUGGGGCAGCUGACAAGACAUACUUCAAGAGGGCAAGAAGUUCCUGUCCAAGGUUACUUUGCUGAAAAAUAGAAUUGGAAAUAACAGGGACCUCAGCAUUUGGAUAUAGGACCUUUAAAAUGGUGAUCAAAUUAAAAUGAAACCAUGAGGGUGGCUCUAAUCCAAUAUGACUGUGGUCUUUAUAAGAGGAAAUUUGGACACAGAUAGUUACAGAGGGAAGACCAUGUGAAGACACAGGAAGAUGACUAUCUACAAGCCAAGGAAAGAGGCCUCAGAGAAGCCAACUCUGACCACAUUGUCCUUGGACUGUUAGGGAACUGCUGACCAAAACCACCCACCUUGGCCAGGCCCACUUGCCUGAGCUGUCUCACAACAGGAGGUCCUAAUAAGGAACACGGUGCUGCUGUUGAAAACUAACCUGCAGAAUUCGGGAGGGGCCAAAAGAGGGAGGAGACGACCAACCACCCAGAGUCCUUCUUGCUGGAAUCCAUUUUGGCUGAGAAAUGCACACGCCACCAGGAAGGGCAGUGAGUCAUACUAUGGGCCAAGCAAGAUGAUUGUCCUGAGACGGCCCGAAAACUAACCCCAUCACCGUAAAACCUGAGACUGCAAGCCACGUGGCAGAGCAGUUCUCCUGGGUUCACUUACCCUGCUGCUGUCCAAAGUCUUUUGCUUUGUCAGUACACGUGUCUCCUCAGGCAAUUCAUUUCCGAGUGUUAGACAAGAGCCCACUCUCGGGCUCUGGAAGGGGUCCCCCUUCCUGCACCAGGACUUCUAAGCAGUGGGGCUAUGAGAAAAUUAAUUUCUGUUGUUUAAGCUGUUCAAGCUAUAGUGCUUUGUUGUGGCAGCCCUAGCAAACUAACAAGAGUACACGACUCAUAAAUGGUCUAGACAUGAUUGGGACUCUGGCCAGUCUGACUCCAAAAUCUAUGCAUUACCUGAGGCCCUCUUCACUACCUACCACAAGAGGAGAAUAGCUAUGGGCUGAAUCAUCACGGCUCUCACUCCAACUAAGGAGUGUGUCACACCAAGAACUUCCCCCAGUAGAUGAGCUGCUAUUCUAGACUGAUUAUUAUCUCUUAAUUUAUGAUGACAAUGAUUAGUGCAGAAAGGUUUUACAUUGCUAUACUAUAUAAGGGGAAGAAAAAUAGAAUUUCAUGACAAUGUACCAAAGCUUUUGAACUCUGGCUUCCAUAGAUGACUGGGAACUUACUCAAGGCUAAGAAUGGUAUUCUUGGAUUGCCCAACUGAUAAAGUGAAAAAAAGAACAGUAUUUGAUACAGCUAAAGCUUUGCAAUGAACUAAAGGAAGAAAGGAACUAGCUAAGUUAAAUAUUAACUUAAACCACAACCAUUUGGCUAAGCCUGAGGUUCUUCUACAGAGUGAAUGUUAUAUUCCUUACAUAGACUCAGGAUUUUUGCAUUCUUUCAUAAUGAUAUGAUAGUUUUGCCUGACUAUAACAGUUGCUAAUCUAACACCAAUGACAAUAACAUCACAAAUCAAUUUAGUUGCUCUGUUCAGAGUUUCUAAAUCUUCCUUUUGCAAUAUGUGAACUUCCUAUAACCUAGAAUUUAUGAAAUGGAACCAUAUGUGACCUCCAUACUUUCCCCAUUUUCAGAACCCUAUCCCACUAAGAUAAUUCUUUUAAAAUAGCUGGCUAAGAAUCAUCAGGUAAAUCAUGUUACACGGAUGUUUAUGAAAAAUUUUGACUUGGU